UAUUCAAGGAAUGAGUCAGUGAGUACAACUGAUAGGGAAAAAUCUGUUACAAGAUGGCCAGCAGGACUGACAGGGGAAUUCCAGUCCCCACAGGAAGACUCCCCUUCCGGGUUCUUCUUCCCACCCAGCUCCCCGCAUGCGCCAAAUGACUACUAAUACGGAAUGCGGAAGUGACGGACUAUGAAUUGUUCCCUCUGCUUAUGCCUGGGUUCAGACCUCUGGAGAGUGAUCUCCUCUGACCUGCCAGUGUGAAAUAAUCUUGCCUUCCAAGAUCUCCGAGUGCUGCUUGGCUCUUCUGCCAGGUGAUCCAGACCAGGUUCCGUAACAUUUGGUUUCCUGACCGGGAAACCGUGCUGGCCCAUUGUUGCCACCUGUUUGGGAAAACGGCGAGGCGGUGACGGAACGAGGAAUCGCAACGGAGAAGGCGCGCCCUGCCUGAAUUUCGGCAGUCUCCCUCUUGGUGGCCUUAGGCCGGCCCCAGUCUGUCUGCCGUUCCCACUGCACUGGAGGAGACUUGGCCGUGGAGGAUCUGGACCCGAUGUGGGAUACAGUGGCAAAGGAUUCAUCUCUCUGUGAGGAUCUUAGGGGCACAGGCUCAGUGACGGCAAGACGGCAGAUAAUUUCACAGUGCCAUCCUGUUGGUGACUAUAAUUACUGUCCCUGAAGAAUGAAACAAAGACUUCCCACUAAGAUCUAUUGUAGUCCAAUUUAUAUUUCAGAAGUUUAAAUUGAUAAUUAAGUGAUUUUAACACAAACUUUAUAUUUGAAUCUUAGCUUUGUUUGAGGUGCUAUUCUGCUGUAAGUAUCUGGUGAUAGAGCUGGCAUGUAUUUAAAGGAUACUUAAAUUUUAUUAAAAUGAUGAAGCUAGGAUUUGGGCUAUGAAACUAGACUGGGGUUUGAAUCCUAUUCUACCACUUACUAGCUGCAUUUGUGCCUCAGUAUCAUCAUUUAUAGAGUACAGAUUGCUUUCACCAA